GCUUACAAUGCUCCAUAUGCAUAGACAUUCAUUCCUCUGCUGAGAAAAUGGGCCACAAUUUAAAUGUUCUUCAAAUUAAUUACACCUCUCAUAACAUCCAUAGCACUUAGAGUUGCACCAAACACACUACUUUUACCAAAACCAUGCGGCCACACCAGGCCUUACUACAGCUCACCCGCGUCGCAUUGGCCAACAACUUCUCUCUUCUACCAUGACAAAAGCUAUCACCUAAGACUGGACCACCAGAUAUCCUGUCAAACAAAGACAAGACUAUCUGGUAAGGUUGCGGUUCAUCACAAGCUAAAAGACCUAAAACCGCAUUUUGGCCCUCUCCAUCAAUCAUAAUUGGCAUUCACUCUGCCAGAUCCACCUUGCCUACCGUGGAAAUUUGUACCUCCGCGCCUUGACUGAACCUGACCCCUCUCUCUGUAUCUUUUUUGGUCGACACUGUGAGAACCAUCAGCUGCCUCUUCAAAAUUACUUGGUUUGCUAUUAUUGUAUUGCCCAACUGGCUGGUACUCAUAGUGCAUGUUGUUCCUCUGCCUUUCUCGACCGCCGGAGGUGUUGUGCUGCCAAUUAUCUUUAACCGAGAACAAAUUUUCAUGAGAUUCCUGGGUCCGGCCAGAACGAUUGUUUUGGUUUACAUUCCUCCUUAAGCCUGAGUUGCUCCGCUCUUGCACAGCUUCGGCACUUUCAGCAGGAGCAGAUUCAGCUUUGAUAACAGGACCUUGGUUAGGGGAGUAGGGGCGUCCCCUAAAUGAAGCAGGCUUCCUCUCUCUUCUUGGAUCCAGAUUUCGAAUGUUUGGCACCUCUGAAACAAUUUUAUCUUCAGAUGAAAAUGAAUCUGCUUGACCUGCACCUAUAUCAUGGCUCUCCUUCUCACUGCGUAGGGGGAUACUCACUUUAUCAUGAUGAUAAUCUCUCUUAUUUCCCCGAUCGCCUUCCAUAGUAAUAUGUUGGGCUCCAGUAGACACACCUUCAUGUUGAUUAUUAACUGCAAGCAUGUGGGACUUUGGCUGCCAAUGUGGAGGAGUGCGAUUGCCCAUGCCACGGCUUUCCUUUGCUGCAACUCUUCUGUCCAUCUGGUUUAUUUCAGUUGCUCCUGACAGAGUGUGAUUUUGCUGAUGCCCCACACUGUUGUUUUUGUAUUCAUACCCAAAAUUUCCUGUGCUUCUGUGACCCUUGGAAGGGUACCGUUUCCCUUUACCCCUAGUUCCCUCAUCUGGUACAACAGGAAUGGUGGUACGUUGACCUUCAAAAUCAUCUGGCAUGUUCCAACCAUCUGAUACAUCAAACUCACUGGAACACUUGGACUCAUAUCUCAGAGAAUCUCCAUCAGGCUUCAAAGACUGAGUCUGAUCCAAAGACUUGCAAUCGUUCUUGCUGGUGUCCAAUGCCAAUUCAGUUGAACCCCUUUGCCUCCACACUCCAUGAGCUUUUCCUUGCUUAUUAUUGUGCUUUCCAUCACCAUCCCUGGACUCUAUGGAGAAACUCUCAGUUGCAGAUCCAGUUGGUACAGAACAUCCAGCGUUUUCAGUUCUAGAUUCUGCCCUGCCAGUUGUCCCAUCUGGACCGGGAGAAUUGCCUGACAACAAAAGUGGCUGUUGACUACUACCAUGCUGGGCAAGUUCUUUGGCCACCGGUUUGGGAACGUAUCUCUCCAUUUCAGCUCUCUUGCUUUUUGAAUUACUCUGCACCACGUUAUCACUCUUCAGAGGACCAAUGGAAUUAGAUCCAGUUUUCUGACUUGCUUCAGCAACAUCUUCAGUUUUGCUUUGAGAUCGCACAGGUGCCCACACAACCGUAUCACCUCCCUGAAACUUAUCAGUAUGAAUAUUAGAGUGCUGAUUUCUCUGUGUCCUCCGAGGGUGCUGAGGUUUCCAUUGAUUAACUACUCGACCAUGACCUUCUUCUGUAGGCAAAGGGGGACUCUGGUCAGAAGGUUGCACAACAUUGUCACCACUUGCUGCCUGAUUUGAGCUCACAUCCAGAACCAACUGAGAAGAAUUCAACUUCUCCUGUUGAGUACGAACUUUAACAGGAUUACUAUCAUUUGGCACCGGUGAUGGAGAGGCAGGGCGAGGCAGCACAGCAUCAAGCUUCUGCUUGUUCUUGUUGGUCCUAUUACCUUUCCUUCUCGGCUGCACGGAAGAGUCGACCGCAACCUUGGCAUUAUUGACCAUGUUUAAUUCAGCAUUUAAACCAACUUCAUGAGCCUCCGUAGAUUGAACUUUAUUAAUAAUAACAUCAGUAGGGCCCUUAGAUACCUCAGUAAUGCAAACAGGGACUGAUUUUUCAUUGAUAUUCUUAGGUGUCAUAUUUGGCCUUUGCUUGAAGCUAGUACGCUUA
rnacentral:misc_RNA from 1 species